CCUACGGGUGGCUGCAGUGGGGAAUCUUGCACAAUGGGGGAAACCCUGCUGCAGCGACGCCGCGUGAGUGAAGAAGUAUUUCGGUAUGUAAAGCUCUAUCAGCAGGGAAGAAGCAAGACGGUACAUGACUAAGAAGCCCCGGCUAACUACGUGCUAGCCUCCGCGGUAAUACGUCGGGGGCAAGCGUUAUACGGAUUUACUGGGUGUAAAGGGAGCGUUGUCGGUAUGGCACGACUGAAGUGAAAGCCCAGGGCUUAACCCUGGGACUGCUUUGUAAACUGUUAGACUAGAGUGCUGGAGAGGGAAGGGGAAUUCCUAGUGUAGCGGUGAAAUGCGUAGAUAUUAGGAGGAACACCAGUGGCGAAGGCGGCUUACUGGACAGUAACUGACGUUGAGGCUCGAAAGCGUGGGGAGCAAACAGGAUUAGAUACCCCUGUAGUC
rnacentral:rRNA from 1 species